GAGCUUUCCUGGGUGGAAGGGGUUUUGGAUCUGCAAUGGAAGCCCUUUUCAAUUAUAUUGGAUCAGAAUAUGGAAAUACAUUUGCAUUAGCUAGAGUUUUUGCUUUUCUUUCGGGUGCUCCCGAUAUUGGAGCUGGCCAACUAGAUACAAGACGAUAUGGAGAGCAGUACGCUAGUAGACGAGAGGAUGCAGAUCGAGCUUUACUUCCCGAACAAAC
rnacentral:misc_RNA from 1 species